UCCUCGGUGGCGCAAUUGGCUAGCGCGUCAGACUGUUAUUUCUCAAUGAUAUUGACAUCUGGAGGCUGUAAGUUCGACCCUUACCCGAGGAG